GCUACAAAACAGGAACGAUGAUCCCCACCUGCAGGUGAAGAAACCAAGACUUAGAGAGCUGACUUCGCAUUUCCAAGGCUGCAUUGCUGGAGAAGUCUGCUGAUGCUGGCCUCGAGAGAAGGUCGGGGACUCCAUUCUCCACCACAAGCAGCUCCAUCCCCUUCCUGCCUCCUCUGCCCCCAUCCCCAGUCUUAGAACAAGGGCAGCUCCCAGCAGGGUCAUAUUCAAGAUAUUUAAGAACUGGUGUGACGCGUGCCACCACUCACAGCAGAAACCUCAGACCUGGAGCAGAAAGGGUGCUGAGUCCGCAGGUUGGCCCUUUGACUCCAGUAAACUCAGGGGCCAUCAGGAGGCCAAGGAAGGCCAGGGCAGCGUGGACUACAGGGAGAUGGGCACUGGGGAGACUCAGGGCAGUCUGCCAAACAGCACAGCCACAGUGGGGCCUGUCAACACCCCACCAGGCAUACACGAGAACUGAGAAGAGGAAUGGGGGCAAGAAGCCUGUCUGCAAGCCCAGCCGCCAGGUCUCUUUCCUCCCUUGACCACAGUGAAUAGAGCAGGAGAGGGUGAGGCUUGGGUUCCAGCCCUUUCCGGGUCAGGUUCCCAGCUGAGCUGGGCAUAGAGCUGCCUGGCACAUCCCAGACCUGCUCAGCCUCCCUGGCAGCUGCCUGGCCUGGGCCGCCUGAGGCAGCCUCAUCUCCCCAUGCUGGGGAGGACGGAUAAGAGCCGGCCAGAGGGAAAACUGCCCAGGGUGCCUCUCAGCACGUUCUGGCCAUGGUCUGCAGAAUAAUCUUUUUUAAAAAUAAAUCCAGCUGGAGUCUCAGCUGAAAACAGCUUCCUCAAAAUGGCAGGAUAA
rnacentral:lncRNA from 10 species